rnacentral:rRNA from 1 species
CCUACGGGUGGCAGCAGUGGGGGAUAUUGCACAAUGGGGGAAACCCUGAUGCAGCGACGCCGCGUGGGUGAAGAAGCGCCUCGGCGCGUAAAGCCCUGUCAGCAGGGAAGAAAAUGACGGUACCUGACGAAUAAGCCCCGGCGAACUACGAGCCAGCAGCCGAGGUAAUACGUAGGGGCCAAGCGUUAUCCGGAUUUACUGGGUGUAAAGGGGGCGCAGACGGGUAUGCAAGCCAGGCGUGAAAGCCCGGGGCCGAACCCCGGGACUGCUCUUGGAACUGCGUGGCUAGAGUGCAGGAGGGGUAGGCGGAAUUCCUGGUGUAGCGGUGAAAUGCGUAGAUAUCAGGAAGAACACCGGUGGCGAAGGCGGCCUGCUGGUCUGCAACUGACGUUGAGGCCCGAAAGCGUGGGGAGCAAACAGGAUUAGAUACCCGGGUAGUC